CAUCAUUAAAAAUAAUCCAUUUUCUUUUGUUUUGUUUUUUAAAUAGUUAGGUCAACAACAUUGGCUGCAGCUCAAUCGAUCAUUGCAACGACAAUAAUUUUAUUUUCCGUAUAAUUUUACGUAUCGAUUGUAACUUAUUUAUUUUCUUGUAACAGUUAGGUUUGAAAUACCGAUAGAAUUGUGUGAAAAUUAAAUUAAUUAUCCGAUGCACAACGUUGUAAUACGUAGAAAAUUACAUCACGAAUAGCAUCAUUACAUAAUACACGUUGGGUAUGCUCGUUGAAUUACAACUCUCAGCUAAUCUUGUAAUAACCGAUAUAUAUUGUAUUAUUUAUCGUUAUUAUAUGUGUCUAUGUCUACCGUAAUUUCCGUUUAGAUUUGUUUUUAAUACUUUUGAUAGCAGUAAAACAUUAUUUUAAGUUAUAAAAUGUAAUUAUCGUCUAUAGGCUUCGACCUUAACAUCGAUUGAAGUAGUCUAAGGACGAUUCGAUCAUGUUUCGUCGCAUUUAUAUCUCAUAAAUAGUAUGUCUGUUUAGCAUAUCGAUCAAUUCGUCGAGUUUUACACAUAUUUGAAAAUUAAUGAAUCUUAGCGAGUUUUUAUUUGGAUUAAUCAGCAAGUUAUACCCAGACUUUUUUUACUGUAAAUCCCCAAAUAUAGUUCAGUAUUGUAUAAUGUUGUCCAAUAACAUAAAAAGUGAUUAAUAUUGACUUUCUAAAUAUCGAUAUUACUUAGAGGGGGAAAAAUGAAAAUAUCGAAAUGGUGAACGCAUUAACGAAAUAUUUUGAAAGUAUUAUUAUUUGUAUCUAGGUAACACAGGAGAGUCGGCACUACAUAUUUACCGAACUCCCCAACGUUGUUCUCUUCUCAAUGCAAAAAGGAAAGAGGGAUCCAAGAGAGAUAGUUUUCCACAUAAUAACGGAGCAACGGGAGAUGUUUUUAUCGACAUUUGCAUCGUCGUGUCGUCGUCGUCGUCGUCGUCAUUUAAUUGAUAAUUAAUACGACGAAGUGUUCCGUGAAUAAAAAUUGGAUAGAUAAUCGUAACAAAAAAAUUGUUAAUAUUUUUAUGCAAUCGGGAUUAAAUUCUGCAAGAUUAUUUCGAAAGGCGUAUAUAUAUGGUCCAUUUAAAAAAAAAAGGCCAUCAAUAAUACUGGGGCGAAGCCGUUCUCGCCCACACAGCAUUUCGCGCCAGCGUAUACGCGUUCCUGUAAUGACCGGCUAAUAACACAGGUGUAACGUCCUCUUACAUACACAUUAUACAUAUAUGUAUGUAUGUUAAUUACAAUAAUA